GGGCAGCCCGGCCCCGGCUCCGCCCCGCUCUCUCCGGUCCGAGCGCUCCGCGGCGGCGGGAGCGGCCAUGAGGCCGGCGCCGCGCUCCCGGCACCAGACCCUGGCCCUGCGCCGGCAGCUCAUCGGCUCAUCUUGCAAGCUAUUUUUUUCUAACGAUCCAGUGAAGAUCGUGAGGGCAGAAGGCCAGUAUAUGUAUGACGAGAAUGGAAGACGAUACCUUGACUGCAUAAACAAUGUUGCUCACGUUGGGCAUUGUCACCCUGAAGUAGUAAAAGCAGCCCAUGAACAAAAUCAACUGUUAAAUACAAAUUCUCGUUACCUUCACGACAACUUGGUUGAUUAUGCACACAGACUUUCAAAAACACUGCCUGAGAAGCUGUGCAUCUUUUAUUUUCUGAAUUCUGGAUCUGAAGCUAACGAUCUUGCCCUAAGAUUGGCACGACAGUAUACAAAACAUGAUGAUGUUAUAGUCUUAGACCAUUCUGCUAAUUGUUUUUUAAGUGCUUACCACGGACAUCUGACAUCCUUGAUUGACAUAAGCCCCUAUAAAUUCAGAAAUCUAGAAGGACAAAAGGAAUGGGUCCAUGUGGCUCCUGUUCCAGACACAUACAGAGGACUUUACCGAGAAGACCACGAAGAUUCAGUAACAGCCUAUGCUAAUGAAGUGAAAAAUAUUAUUGAGAAAGCACAUGAGAGGGGCAGAAAGAUUGCUGCAUUUUUUGUUGAAUCUCUGCCAAGUGUGGGUGGACAAAUCAUUCCACCAGCAGGCUAUUUUCAGAAGGUGGCAGAGCAUGUGCACAGGGCAGGAGGUGUAUUUAUUGCUGAUGAAAUUCAAGUUGGCUUUGGCAGGGUUGGCAAGCACUUUUGGGCCUUCCAGCUUCAGGGAGAAGAUUUUAUACCUGAUAUUGUCACUAUGGGGAAACCAAUAGGAAAUGGGCACCCUAUUGCCUGUGUAGCAACAACAAAAGAAAUAGCAGAAGCAUUUGCAGCCACAGGAGUAGAGUAUUUCAAUACAUUUGGAGGGAACCCUGUUUCAUGUGCAAUUGGAUUAGCUGUGUUAGAUGUGAUUGAAAAGGAAAACCUUCAGGCUCAUGCCACAGAAGUAGGCAACUUCUUGAUGAAGCUACUCAAGGAGCAGAAAAUCAAGCAUUCCAUCAUUGGUGAUGUCAGGGGUUCUGGGUUAUUCAUUGGAGUGGACUUAAUCAAGGAUCCAUCAGAAAGGACCCCAGCCACAGCAGAAGCAGAGUAUCUAAUAACAAGACUUAAGGAAGAAUAUAUUCUACUAAGUACAGAUGGGCCGGGAAGAAAUGUGCUUAAAUUCAAACCCCCAAUGUGCUUCAACAUGGAGGAUGCAAAGUUUGUUGUGGACACAAUUGACAAGCUACUAACAGAGAUGGAAAAGGAGUGUGUGAAGCAAGAGAAAACAUCCACUUGUUCUACCUGAGCAGGAAACCAAGAAUGCAAAAAGCCUCUUACUAAGUACAGUCCUAGUAAGACACUUACAUACAAUGUUUCAAACAAUGCUCAAGAUCUACUACUAAGAAACAUUCUAUUAACGCAUACUUAAGCUUCAUCCUAGCAUGUAUUAAACCAGAUAAGUUACCUUUGAUUUUGUUAUUUUCAGUUAUUAGUAAAAUACUUAGGAGAAAUAAACUUUACAAGAGCUUGUUUCAA